rnacentral:rRNA from 1 species
GACGAACGCUGGCGGCGCGCUUAACACAUGCAAGUCGAACGGAAAGGCCUGCUUUCCCUUGUGGAUUGCGGGUACUCGAGUGGCGAACGGGUGAGUAACACGUGAGUGAUCUGCCCCCAACUUGGGUAUAAGCCUGGGAAACUGGGUCUAAUUCCCGAUAGGACUGCAGGGUGGUGCCUGUGGUGGAAAACGAUUUUCUAGUGGUUGGGGAUGAGCUCGCGGCCUAUCAGCUUGUUGGUGGGGUAAUGGCCUACGAAGGCGGCGACGGGUAGCCGGCCUGGGGGGGUGGGCGGCCGCAUUGGAACUGAGAUACGGGCCAGAAUACUACGGGAGGCAGCAGUGGGGAAUAAGGCACGAUGGACGGAAGCCUGAUGCAGCGACGCCGCGUGGGGGAUGACGGCCUUCGGGUGGUAAACUCCUUUCGGCCGCGAGGAAGCCACCUGGUUGGAGGGGUAGUGACGGUAGUGGGAGAAGAAGCACCGGCUAACUACGUG